GCCCGGCGGGCGCCAGCGAAGCGGAACCAAACGGAGCCGCGGCACGCAGGCGCAAAGGCUGGCGUUCGAGGUUCGUUUACGCGCCGCUUCGCCGUGCAGGUGGUGGCGAAGCGCUCCUCCGAAAGGUUUCGGAAGCUGGUGGUAGCUCUGAAGAUAACGCUGCGUUAGGGCAUACUGCGGCGGAGGAUGGAACUCCGAUUGAAAGCAGUUGCUGGAGUGGAGCACGAAUUUCAACAAGCCGCAUGUUGAAGUGUGAGGCGUGAAAGGGUAUGUCUGAUAUUUGCUUUAAAAUGCUCCAGCAAAGAAAUUAAGGGAUGGAUGAAGCAAAAGAGGUAAGUCUUGAUAGUGUUGACUCAGAGGAUUGUUGUAGGCUGGGUAUAUAGAUUUUCAUCCUACUAUUUCCUUUACUUCUGAGUGUUUGGAAAUUUUAUGGUAAAAAUAAGUCUAAUUACUUUUUUGGCACAAAAAAGGUUUUGUAAGUUAAGGGUACAUGCUGCACUGGGGAAAGAAUAUAACGAUUAGAAUGUGAGACACAGGCCCCAACUUGAGUCUGGGGCUGCUUUUGGUGACAUCUAAACAUGAAUAAAGGCCAGGCAUGGUGGCUCACACAUGUAAUCCCAGUACUUUGGGAGGCUGAGGCAGGAGGAGACCAGGACUUUGAGACCAGCCUGGACAACAUAGUGAGACCCAUCUCUACGAAAAAAUAAAAAACAAGCCAGGUGUGUCGGCAUGUGCCUGUAGUAUCAGCUAAUCAGGAGGCUAAGGUGGGAGGAUUGCUUGAGCCCAGGAACUCAAGGCUGCAGUGAGCCAUGAUCACACCACUGCAUUCCACCUGGGCCGCAGAGUGAGACUCUGUCUCAAAAUCAAAACAAAGCACUGCAUGAAUACAGCUUACCUCAUUUUCAGAGUCCUAAUAGCUAGAAAGUUUUCCCUCAAAUUCCAAUUUAGUUUCUAGCUGUGUGACUUUGGACAGAUUACUCUCUCUCUGAACUUGGUAUCUAGUCUAUGAAAUGCAAUAAUAAAUCACAGGGGAACUGGGUGCAGUGGCACGCACUUGUAGGCUCAGCUACCCAGGAGGCUGAGGCAGGAGGAUGGGUUAAGAGCCUAAGUUCAAGGCUGUAGUGUGCCAUGACUGUGCCUGUGAAUAGCCACUGCACCCUAGGCCUGGGCAAUACAAUGAGACCCUGUCUCAUAAAUAAAUAAAUAAAUAAAUAAAUUUAAAAAUAAAUUACAGGGUAAUAUUCCUUGUUCUGAAGUUUGCUUUGUCUGAUAGCAAAAUAACCACUCCAGCUUUGUCCUUUUCUUCUUCUUUUUAGUGUUUGCAUGGAAUAUCUUUUUCCAUCCUUUUACUUUUUAACCUGCAUGUACCAUUGUAUCAUAAGUGGCUUGUAUAGAUAGCAUAUAAAUUAGGUUUUAAAAAAAUCCAUCUGGCCAGGCAUGGUGGCUCAUGCCUGUAAUUCCAGUCCUUUGGGAGGCCAAGACAGGCAGAUCAGUUGAGGACAGGAGUUCAAGACUAUCCUGGACAAAAUGGUGAAACUCCAUCUCUAAUAAAAACAAAGAAAAAAUUAGCCAGAUGUGGACAUGCCUGUAAUCCCAGCUACUCAGGAGGCUGAAGCAGGAGAAUCACUUGAACCUGGGAGGUGGAGGUUACAGUGAGCCGGGAUUGUGCCACUGCACUCCAGCCUGGGUGACAGAAUAAAUGAGACUUGAUCCAAAAAAAAAAAAAAAAAUCAAUUGCCAUAUUUAGACCAUUUACAUUUAAUGUAAUUGUUAUUUAUUUUUAUUUUUAGGGACAGGGUCUUGCUCAGUGGCCCAGGCUGGAGUACAGCGGUAUGAUCACAGCUCACUGCAGCCUCAAACUACUGGGCUCAAAUGAUCUCCCACCUCAGCCUCCUGAGUAGCCAGGACUAUAGGCAUGCACUACCAUGGUUGGCUAAUUCUUUUAAGUUUUAUGUAGAUACGGGGCCUCACUACAUUGCCCAGUCUGAUCUUGAACUCCUGGCCUCAAGUGAUCUUCCUGCUUCAGCCUCCUAAAGUGUUGGGAUUAUGGGCAUUAGCCACCACACCUGGCCUAGUGUAAUUUUUGAUACAGCUGGAUUUAGGUCUACCAUUUUAGCAUUAAUUUUUCUUGUUGAUCCCUUAUUUCUUUUACACUUGUUUUCCUUGCUGGCUUUAUUUUGAAUUAUUUAAAAUUCCACUUUAUAUGUCGGCUUUUUAAACAUAUCUCCUUGCAUAGUUUUUUAAAAUGGUUGCUCUAGAGAUGAUCAUUACAUACCAAACUUUUUGUAACCUACUAUAAUGUUUUACCACUUUAAGUGAAAUUUAGAAAACUUACCAUAUAGGUUCUGUCACUGUCCCCUUGGUUAGUAUGCAGUUUUCAUCUGUAUUACAUCUAUAUGCAUUGAAAAUCCCAAAAGAUGAUGUUACAAUUUUUUUAUUUCAGCAGUUACAUAUAUUUUAACAAACAUGUAAGUCUAUUUGGUUUAUCCAGAGAUUUGCCAUUUUGGUUGCUCUUCCUUCUUUGCAAUCAUUUUCCUUCCCCAUGAACUUCCUUUACCAUUUCUGUUAAAGGAGGACUACUAGCAAUGAAUUAUUUUAGCUUUCCUUCUUCUGACAAUGUCUUUAUUUCAGCCAGGUAUGGUGGCUCAUGCCUCUAAUCUCAGCACUUUGGGAGGCCGAAGCAGGCAGAUCACCUGAGGUCAGGAGUUUGAGACCAUCCUGACCAACAUGGUGAAACUCGUCUCUACUACAAACAUAAAAAAAUUAGCUGGGCGUGGUACCACGCACCUGUAAUCCCAGCUACUCCUCUGGAGGCUCAGACAGGAGAACUGCUUGAACCGGGAGGCGGAGGUUGCAGUGAGCUGAGAUCGCACCAAUCCAUUCCAGCCUGGGCAACAGAGUGAGACUCCAUCUCAUAAAAAAAAAAAAAGUAAAGAAAAAAAAGAAAAUGUCUUUAUUUCAUUUUCUUUCCUAAAGAAUAUAUUUGCUGGAUAAAGGAUUCUGUGUUGACAGUUUUGUUGCUUUUUAAAAGCACUUUAUAAAUGUUGCUCCAUGGUUUCUGAUGAGAAAUCUGCCAUCACUGAAAUCUUUGGUUCUCCUAUAUACAAAGUGUUGUUUUCUUCCAGUUGUUUUCAAAGUAUUUUCUUUACAGUUGGUUUCAUCACUUUGAUUAUGACGUGCCUGGGUGUGGUUUUCCUUUUUGGGAUUUGCUGUGCCAGCAGACCGGCUUUAAAUAGAAUGCUAUGUAAAUGUAUGUGAAUAUUUGUUUUUUGCCAGAUGUUUGGAAGUUUUUAGCUAUUAUUUCUUCAGAUAUUUUUUUCUUCCAAUUGUUCUUUCUGGGCUCCUAAGACAUGAAUAUUAGACUGUUUCAUAUUGUCCCACAGAUCCCCAAAGGUCUUCUCAUUUUUUUCACUUUUUUCUCUGUCAUUCAGACUAGAUAAUUUCUGCUCAUGUAUCUUCAAAUUUACUGACUCUUCCCUCAGUCAUCUUCAUUGUGUUGAGACCUUCCAGUAAAUUUUGUUAUUGUAUUUUCAGUUCUACAAUUUCCACUUGUUUCUUUUUAUAGCUUCUAUGCUGAGACUUUUAGCUUUCCAUUUAUUUCAACAGUGUUUCCCUUUAUAUAUUUCCUUUGGAGAAAUGUCUUCUUUGUGUAGCAUGAUUAAAAUAACUAGUUUAACGGCCAGGUGUGCUGGCUUAUGCCUGUAAUCCCAGCACUUUGGGAGGCCCAGGCAGGCAGAUCACUUGAGGUCAGGAGUUUGAGACCAGCCUGGCCAACGUGGUGAAACUCUGUCUCUAUUAAAAAUACAAAAAAUUAUCUAGGCGUGGUGGUACACACCUGUAGUCACAGCUACUCAGGAGGCUGAGACAGGAGAAUCACUUGCACCCUGGGGGUGGAGGUUGCAGUGAGCCAAGAUUGUAUCACUGCACUCUAGCCUGGGUGAUAGAGACUGUCUCAAAAAUAAAUAAAAAAAAUAAAAUAACUAGUUUUAAGUCUUUUUCUGAUAAUUCUGACAUUUGGGUAACCUUAGAGUUGGCUCUUGUUCAUUGUCUUUUCCCUAGAGAGUUGCUUAGGUUUCACAAGUUCUUUGUCCAAUCAUUUUGGGUUGUUUCUGGGAUAUAUUUGGAAUAUUAUGAUAUUCUCUAUCCUGUUUAAAUCUUCAUAAGAAUGUUUUUGUUUUGUUUUGUUUUAGCAGACCAUCAAUUCAGUUAAGUUUCAGAGCACACAUCCUGGCCACUUUUUUUGGUGGCUGUGGUUCCAAUGUUAGUUUUCACUGCCUUUGUUAAGCUGUUCUUUGCCCCAGUUGUGCACCAUCUAGUGGCCAAUCUGAAACUUGGACAGUGGCCUACACUGUAAUUCAGUGUUCAGAACCUUUGCUCAGCUGCUUCUGGUUAGUUUCACACAUACACAGCUUGUGAGAUGAUCCCAGGAUUUUAUUGACAGAUUUAAGGGUUCCUUUUCUUCAGUUCCCUCCUAUUUGUGAUCUUACCUAUACUCUGGUUUCUAGAACCCCAUUCUUGGUUUUUGGCUAGAAAGUCAGGGCGUUAGCCUCCCCAUUGCCAGUGUUCUGCCCUGCAAUGUCUGCCACUAGUGCACCAGGGGGAAGAGAAGAGUGAUACCUCUUUACUGCUGCGGGAUUGAUGUAGAGCAAGGAAAGUCCAGAAGGUUCCAAGUCAUUACCCAUGGUUCUCCUGGUGGGGCGGUGGGUCUUACUGCAUCUUUCCUGAGGCUCUCUUAGAAUACUGCAAUUAAAUUAAAAAGGGUUUUGUCCCAUAGCCUCCAACCUCCUUUCUGGUCCUCUGACUAGAAACAGCAAAUUGUUCCUUGGACUAUUUUUCUCUCUGUCAGCUAGCAUUUCCAGUUUUCCUGUUAAAUGUCUUUUUUCUUUUUCCUUUUUUUUGAGACAAGGUUUUGCUCUGUUGCACGAUCACAGCUCACUGGAGCCUUAACCUCCUGGGCUCAAGUGAUCCUCCCACCUCAGCCCCCGUGAAGCUGGGACCACAAGUAUGAGCCACCACACCUGGCAAAAUUUUUUUAAUUUUGCAGAGACAGUGUCUCCCUGUGUUGCUCACUCUGGUCUCAACCUGAGCUCGAGUGAUCCUCCUGCCUUGGCCUCCCAAAGUGCUCGAUUACAGGUGUGAGCCACUGCACCUGGCCUUAUUAUGUGUCUAUGUGUGGAUUUUCUAGUUUAUUCUGUUUGGGAUUUGUCUGGCUUCUAGAAUGUGUGGGGUCAUGUCUUUCAUCAGUUUUUAAAAUUCUGCAUUCUAUCUAAGUAUUUGCUCUGUCCUAUUCUUGCCUCUCCUCUCACAGCUAAUGAAGCACUUAGGAUUUUUCACUGUAUUCUCUACAGGUCUUCUGUUUUUUUUUCCAGCUGUUUCUCCCAUGGUGCACUGUGAAUAGUUUCUCCUGAGUUAUCUUCCAGUUUAUAAACUACCCCAAUUGGCUACAUUCUAUUACAUCUAUUUACUGAGUUUUAAAGUGCAGUUUUUAUGUAUAUUCUUGUAAUGUUUAUAUUCAGUUCUUUUCCAGAUUAGCUCCACAACUUUUUAUCGUAUAGUUUCCCAUUUCCUGCAAGUACAUUCACACACCUUAUUUCCUUAAACAAAGAAAACAAAUCUAAUACCUAUAUCUGUGAGUUUGUUUUCAUUGCUUCAAGUAAUUCUUGCCUCUGGAAUCUAGUUUCCUUAUAUGACUACUUUUUACUAUGUGUUACUAGACAUAUUUGAAAAGUAAUUUGAGGCCUACAAUGAAAUUACUUUUCCAUGAAAAGUAUUUACAUUUUAUUUUCUCUGUCACCUGGAGGCAUUACUAGUGUGGGAACACCUUAAAGGAAGCUCAGUGCUUAAGAUUCUUUAGAUCACUGGGGCAAUUCUAAACUUGCCUGUUCUUUUACAUUGGUUCUUCCACCUCUGAUUCAUUAUCAUCCUAAAGGUGAAAGUAUUUGGGAGUCUCAGCCUAUUGUGUGGAGGGUCUCCUGUUAGGUUCAUCACCUUAUAUGGGCCCUGAACUUUAAUUUCUGUCCCCCUCACUCAUAAGGUUGUCAGAGUAAGGGUACAUGCUUGCUUCUCUUAUUCUCUUUACUUUUGGACUUGGCAUUCCUUAUUGUCUGGAAAAUCUCUUUGAUGUUUUAAGAUUAUUCUUGUAUUUUAAUCAGGAAUUGUUUUCAACAGGAACAUGAUGUAAAUAUCCUAGCAUGCAAUUUUCAGAAACAAGUAGUUUCCCACAAUUGAAUCUUUGCUCCUACAGGGCCAAAUCCUACUCUUUCUCUUGGCAUGCUCUGCACUUAAGCGCAUACUACUUGUGGCAUGGAAUCCAUAAAUGUUGAUAAAGAACUACGCCUAAUUCUGUCAGAACAAUUAAUCAUUUUUAGAAAUUUUUGCUUAGAAACCUGGUAAAGUGCUCUGCAUGUAGCAAGUAUACGAACACACAAAGUUUGUUGAAUAGCUGCAUAAAACAAAUGGGCUAGAUUUUACUUCAUAUUUCAAAAUUCAGAGAAAGAGAGUAGUAUUAAAAGACAUAAGCCAAAAAUAGAUCAUUGCAGACUGAGU
rnacentral:lncRNA from 10 species